ensembl:rRNA 5S_rRNA 5S ribosomal RNA
CUGUAUGGCCAAACCAUCCUGAAUGUGCCUGAGCUCAUCUGAUCUCCGAAGCUAAGCGGGGUUGGACCUGGUUAGUACUUAGAUAGAAGAGUUUCAUUGAUCACAUGGCUUCCUGGUUGACAUUAUGU